rnacentral:tRNA from 1 species
CGCGGGGUGGAGCAGUCUGGUAGCUCGUCGGGCUCAUAACCCGAAGGUCGUUGGUUCGAAUCCGGCCCCCGCUACCA